rnacentral:lncRNA from 1 species
AGUAAGUAUGUCACUUAUUCUAUACCUUAGAAAUUAAAACACAAGCAGUAUCUCAUAUUGUUUAAGCACAUUCUGACAGGUUUAGUUAAUCCCCAGAAAGUAGAAGGUGUCUGUCAUCUGAGCUAUGCAGGACUGUAGGGAGAACAUGUCUGGGGGAGUUCAGGAAGCCUAUUUUGGACACGUGGAGGUGGAGAUGCCUGUGGAUGUCCCAGCAGAGAUGUCGAGAACAUGACUGGACACAGGAUUUUGGAAUUCAGGGGAGGGGGUGGGUGAAGAGGGAAAAUGGGAGACAUGUUGGUGGUGGUUAAAACCACAGAUGAGAUCAAAAGGAAAAGCAGAGGGUGUGGGCAGACAGAACAGGUUUAAGGACUAAAUUGGGUGACAUUUCCAUAUUCAGAGAAGACACUUCAGGAGACAGCAGCAGAGGAAACUGAUAAGAUACGAAAGUAAUGAAAAAAAUUUUAAACAGAUUUUUAAAAAUACGAGCAAUGUCUUCAAAGCUGAGAAAAAAAAGAGUGAUCAGCUGUGAAACAUGCUGCUGAGAGAAAAAGACAGGAGGACAGAAAAUUCAAAGUCAGAUUUAAGCAGGGUACAGGGCUUAUGCCUCUAAUCCCAGCAUGCUGGGACUUCUUUGUAGGAGGAUGGCUAGAAGUCAGGAGUUCAAGACCAGCCUGGGCAAUGCAGUGAGACUUUGUCUCAAAAAAAAAAUUUUUUUUUUUAAUCAGCCAGGCAGAGGGACAGCCCCAUAGUCCUAUCUACUCUGGAGGCUAAGACAGGAGGAUUGCUGGAGCCUAAGGGUUUGAGGUUAUGGUGAACUAUGACUGUGCCACUGCAUGCCAGCUUGGGUGACAGAGCAAGACCUUGUCUCUAAAAAUUAAAUGAAUAAAUAAAUAACUAGAUUUAGAAACAGAGAAGUCACUGGUGACUCAGAUAAAAAAAGGAGCAGUGGAAUGGUUGGUGUCAAAACCUGAUUGGAUGGGGUCAAGCAAGAAAUGGAGGAAAGAGUGAGAGAGAGCCUAAACAAGAUUUUGGUAUAUUGUGCUCUUACAUGGAGCACAGAAAAGGCAUACUUAUUGCAAGUAAAAAUGUAGCUAAUACUUUGUUUUUUCCUCUGAGGAUGAAAUAGUGGAAAAAAUAAAGGCGUGUGUGUGUGUGUGUGUGUGUUUUAAUGGGCAACAACUCCAUCUGGGUAUGCUGACCAAAAUAAUUCCCUUGAAGUAAAAUCUGAUGACACUGUGGAGGAGGGAUGCCAUGGCAUCAGGAGAGAGUGAAUGGGGCUGGCCUGUGGCACACAGUCUCAGCGUCAGCAGCAGCCAGGAGCAGGGACAGACAAUUCCCAGUCACUACUAAGAACACAGUCCUAAAAAUGGCUGAUGGGGAGAAAUCCCC